rnacentral:piRNA from 1 species
GCCUUUGCCUGUUCGGAUUUGCUGCCUCGU